GCUGCCUUCUUUUAAGUUGAACGCGCACUGCUGUUGAUUCACUCAGUUUCCUUUAAGUUUAGAUCACUACAUUUACCACUCAUAAAAGAUGCAACUAUAGACAAGACAGAGGACAAAGUGGAAAUCCCAGUGUUCCUAGAUCUCAAGUGUGCGGCAGAAAAAGAGUUACACCCGCCAGGAUCUAGAAGAAAGAGCAAGGCCAUGUCUGUCCCUGUCUGACGAGUUCCAGGUAUCCCCCCCUCCCAGUUAUAACAAUCAUAUUUUGCUCAUUACAAACAGCUGUGUUCCCACUUACAGCAGUAGAAGUGUGGGCAUUCAUCUGGAGUACAUUUAAAUACCAAUUAAAUCAAAUAGCUCUUUUAUAUCAAUGGCUUAAAAAAGAGCUGGCACCAACUA